AUAACGACUCUCGGCAACGGAUAUCUCGGCUCUCGCAUAAUGAAUAACGUANCGNAUUGCUAUACUUGGUGUUAAUUGCACAAUCCCGUGAACCAUCGAGUCUUUGAACGCAAGUUGCGCCCGAAGCCAUUCGGCCGAGGGCACGUCUGCCUGGGCGUCACGC
rnacentral:rRNA from 1 species